UUCAAAAAAAAAAAAAAUUAUGAAAGAAAAUAGAUAAACCUUAUACUUGCUAACAUGACGGUAGCAGCCAAUUACAAAAUGUUUCAAUUAUUGAAAUGAUCAUUCCUGACCAAUGCAUAAAGCUGUCUGUAUUAUUUUCUUAGUUAUUAAAUAUUAUCAAAUGGUGCAUGUAUAUGCACGUACAUAUUACUGUUGAUAAAUUAAUAAGAAAUGCAUUACCAUUUAUUUAUUACAUUUCAUUUAGCAAUGGGAAAUUUAGUGUCUAUGUAUGUGGUAUCUAAACAAUCCCAUGAUUUCACAGUAAUACAGUGACGCUGAUGAACUUUUAAAUCAGCGUGAAACAUUCUUUUUAGUGGCGUAAAGUUGAGAAGCAUGAAUGUAUUCUGUGCAAAACUAUGAGAAUGUGAUCGUAUCGGGUUAAAUAUACAGUAGCUGAUAAUGCCAUGAAAUAUUUUCCCAGUAUACCAUGGAGAGGGUGAGGGCUGACUGUCUGGAAUGGCUUUUCUGAGUGAAUAUCUCAUUUCAUGAGUUUGUCUUUUUUUCUUUUCUUUUUUUUUAUUCCUCUCCUCCCUGUGUGUUUGUAAUGAAAUACUUGCUAAACCCUCAACCGAUUGCUCUAACCAUCCCAGCGUGAAAUCACAGUGAGAGGAAACUCCGCUGGGAUAUGUGAGGAUAAAUUCUUGCAUCCUCUCGCCUUUCUAUUUUUCUGUUCUCUUUUCAUUUUAUUAUGUUGUGUUCUUGGAUCCAUCCUCUGUAAUCCUUCACUUUCUGCUUUUGUAGUAUUUUUUUUUUUUUCUACUGUUGUUGUUUGACGAUCAAAAAUGGUGUGUUUUGUUUAACUUUCAGAGUGAGCUAAUAGCAUUCACACUGUCAGUCCGUCACAGUGUCCUAACCAGCAUCGCCUGUGAAAAGCGACAAGACAUUUAGUCCAUCAUGUGGUUUUUACUUAUGUGGCUUUGCAUAGGUAGAAAUCUGAUUUGUCGACAAUUCCUGUACAUAUCUUCUGAUUGGUUAUCACCAUGUCAACGUUUUUUUUGCUCGGUGUAAACGAAGUGCUUGUCGCGUCACACUGGUUAGGGCGCUGUGUCUUUCUGUGUGGGACUGAAAAGUUCGAAAUUUCGCAGCCCACAUGCAUUAAAUGCUUAGAUUUCACAUUUACAAUAUUAUAAAUAAACAGUUUUUAUUGGUUUUAUUUAAUAUCACAUUAUUUCACUGUUUAAAGAAAUGGUUAACCCUACUAUUAGAGCUGUCAUUUACUCUGCCUCAGGUGUGACUGCGAUAUGCAAAAAGAGGUUUUUACAAUGUGAAAAAUCAGCAGGAAAAUCCUGUUUAACAUUUUUGUUUGUUUGUUUUUGUGGUCUGAAAAACUUGUACGUGUUUGGAAUGAAAUGCGUGAGUAAAUGGCAGUUGUAAUAUUUAGGUGAACUGUUUCUUUAAUGCUUCAUAUUUAAUGCAUCGUAUCUUUGGUUGCAAAACCCUUAUUUCUGUGUACUUCUGGUUUAAAGGCCUCUUCACACCAAGUCUGAUGAUUAUGCACUAUUGUAUGUAAAAACCUACAGUAUUAACCGCUCGAUCUUAUUGGUCAGGGAGGUUUGUUUUUGGGGUGAAAGUGGUUACGUUUGUGUAAAUUAUGCGAUUUGUUUCAUUUUAAAAUGUUUUCGUAAUGGAAAUGCUGACUUGGAAGUGAAUGGGCCUUGACUCUACCUUGACCUGCUACCAUAACACUACAAACUCACAUCAGCUCUUCAAUCCAUUUUUGCACUGGGAAAAAGUCAAAUAUUAUUAUAUUUGUCUAUUUUCCAUUAACAAAAAGUUUGGGUUUUGUUUUCUUUUGUGUGCAACUUGUGGAAUGUUUACGUCUCUCAUCCAUGUACUGUAUAGAUCAGCUCUGGCGUCCGCCCAUCAGGGUCAGCCUUUACCCAAGACCCUGAGUGUCAUGGAGAGCACCCCGCAGGUCAGAGGAAUGCACACUAUUAUCAGGUAU